GAACGCUGGCGGCGUGCUUAACACAUGCAAGUCGAGCGAUGAAACUACUUCGGUAGUGAAUUAGCGGCGAACGGGUGAGGAACACGUGAGGAACCUGCCUUCAACACUGGGAUAACUCCGGGAAACCGGGGCUAAUACCGGAUACGAGCCUUGAUCGCAUGAUCGAGGCUGGAAAGUUUUUCGGUUGAAGAUGACCUCGCGGCCUAUCAGCUUGUUGGUGAGGUAAUGGCCCACCAAGGCGACGAUCUGUAGCUGGUCUGAGAGGACGACCAGCCACACUGGAACUGAGACACGGUCCAGACUCCUACGGGAGGCAGCAGUGGGGAAUUUUGGACAAUGGGCGCAAGCCUGAUCCAGCAAUGCCGCGUGCAGGAUGAAGGCCUUCGGGUUGUAAACUGCUUUUGUACGGAACGAAAAGGUCUGCCCUAAUACGGCGGGCUCAUGACGGUACCGUAAGAAUAAGCACCGGCUAACUACGUGCCAGCAGCCGCGGUAAUACGUAGGGUGCGAGCGUUAAUCGGAAUUACUGGGCGUAAAGCGUGCGCAGGCGGUUAUAUAAGACAGAUGUGAAAUCCCCGGGCUCAACCUGGGACCUGCAUUUGUGACUGUAUAGCUAGAGUACGGUAGAGGGGGAUGGAAUUCCGCGUGUAGCAGUGAAAUGCGUAGAUAUGCGGAGGAACACCGAUGGCGAAGGCAAUCCCCUGGACCUGUACUGACGCUCAUGCACGAAAGCGUGGGGAGCAAACAGGAUUAGAUACCCUGGUAGUCCACGCCCUAAACGAUGUCAACUGGUUGUUGGGUCUUCACUGACUCAGUAACGAAGCUAACGCGUGAAGUUGACGCCUGGGGAGUACGGCCGCAAGGU
rnacentral:rRNA from 1 species